rnacentral:ncRNA from 1 species
AAAGCCUGAUGUGUGUGAGAUUACCCGCUGAAUUUAAGCAUAUAAGUAAGCGGAGGAAAAGAAACUACUAGGAUUUCCCUUAGUAAUGGCGAAUGAACAGGGAUCAGCUCAGUGCCAAAUCGGAAUCACUUGUGGUUCUGAAAUGUGGCUUGAAGGCAGUACCAGUGGCAUCGCGGACGAAAGUCUCUUGGAAAAGAGCGUCAUAGAGGGUGAGAAUCCCGUGAGUCGUUCGCCGUUUGUCACGUACGGUCUGCGUUCUAACGAGUCGCGUUCCUUGGGAUUGGAGCGUAAACGGGUGGUAAAUUUCAUCCAAAGCAAAAUAUAUACUCGAGACCGAUAGCACAAAAGUACCGUGAGGGAAAGGUGAAAAGAACUUUGAGAAGAGGGUUAAAUAGUGCCUGAAAUCGUUGAGAAGGAAGCGGAUGCCGCCGUUGCAUAUGCUGAUUGUAGGAUUGCUGCUCGCUCCUGUCUUCUGCUACUCAUUCACAGACCUGGUCGUGUUGAGCAGUUGUUUGGCAGAUGUUAGUGGUGUUUCCUACUUUCAGUCGUCAGCAUCACUGGCUGAGUGGAAAUAAUCCUUGGAUGCUAAUUGGUUCGCUAUCUGUGAAUUGGUUGCUUCCUUGCGAUACUCACUACUCGGUCAGUGAGGAAGUGCGUUUGCUGGUCAACGAGCUUUCUAACUGUCAUUACCCUGCGCUUUUCGAUUCGUCGAGUGGCCAGGAUGUGGCUUUGAGAUUGUUCGCACUUAGUAAUCGCGAUGCUGGCUUCCAACGGUUGCCUCCGGCCCGUCUUGAAACACGGACCAAGGAGUCUAACGUAUGUGCGAGUGUGUGAGUGGCAAACUUAUACGCGUAAUGAAAGUGAGGCCGUAUGGCCAUGUUGGGGUCACCAACAACCGACCUUGAUCUUCGGUGAAAGGUUUGAGUAUGAGCAUAUCCGUUAGGACCCGAAA